UCCAGGCAGACAAAGUAACCUAUACGGCGAAAUCAGACUUGGGUGGAGAGAAGGAAUGCAUAACCUUCCUGAAAAGGUAAAUAGAUGCCCUGAUGGUGUGCGAGCGGACGCUGCUUGCAUGGCGGUGCUUGGUAGUGAUGUGCCGUUUCAUGCUCGCACCCUACGCAGCUAUAUGUAACUAUCCGGCAGCUGUACGGGGCAGUGUUUUUGAAAGGAGAUCCC
rnacentral:ncRNA from 1 species